AAAGUUCCAUUAUUUAUCACGCGUUUCUAUCUCUCUUUCAUCAUCCAUAUUUCCGCACUGUCUCUCUCUCUCCCUCCCAAUCUAUUCUCUUUCUCUCUCUAAUUUUUGGUUGUCUUCUGGGAUUGAUCUGAUGAAGAAGAUGGAAGGGGUUGUUGCUAUGGAGUCUUCUCCAUAUGCUGUGUGUGAGGACCCGAGAACUAGGUUGAGGCAUCAGAAUCUCUUUACUGGACAUUGAAGAGCUACAGAAGAAUUGAGGGAGAUAAGAGAAAUCAAAGUAGAAGAUGACCCUUCAGAACUACACCCGUGCCCUUUUGGACAAGAGAGACUGGGAUCCAUGUCAAGAUGACCAAAUGGUUGACCUAUUUAGUUUUAGUUCAUUUUCAAGCUGGAAUUAUGUACGCUUCCAAUUAUGGUGAGCUUGGCCAACCAUUUCGUUCAAAUAUGUUUCCUUUGAGUGGGACUGGGUUUUUGGGUAAUGUUGGUCAUAGCAUAAACUUGGCUUGAAAGGGCUUGAAAUCCUUUGACAUGGACUGAGAAAGUAAGUUCAGUGGCCUUAUUUGCAGGAUAACAUCAUCGUUCAAUAUGUCUCAGAACAGUCUUAAGGUUGAUCACUAACACGGUUUCCUUGUCAUUGAGAUAAUGCACAAUUUGUUUCUUGUUAAAGUCUAGUAUAUUGGAUAUUAAAGAUUUCUGGCCUAUCAAUUCAGUGGGCAGUGUGUAUAAGUUGUUAUCUAAGGUUUUGGCUAAAAGAUUGAGGAUGGUGUUGGACAAACUCAAUUUUGAGUCGCAAAAUUCUUUUGUAGGUGGUAGAUAGAUUUUGGAUUUAGUGCUUAUUGCUAAAGAAUGUCUUGAUAGGACACUGAAAUAUUGUACUUCAAGAGUGGUUUGUAAGUUAGACAUUGAAAAAGCCUAUGAUCAUGUGAAUUUGGGCACUUUGUUCUAUCUGUUGGAGAGGAUGAGUUUUGGGGUUUGAUGGAGAGGAUGCUUAAAGGCAUGUGUCACGACUGUCCGUUUCUCAGUUUUUGUUAAUGGAUCUCUUAUUGGUUUCUUUGGUAGCUCAUGAGGUCCAAGACAAGGUGAUUCGUUGUCUCCUCUUCUCUUCCUUUUGAUAAUGGAGUUUUUAAGUUAGAUUCAGAAUAAAAUUAAGGAAGGUGGUAUUCUUCAGGGUUUUCAUGUGGGAACUGUUAAUACUACUGGCAUUCGUAUUUCCCAUCUUCUUUUUGCUGAUGAUACUAAUUUUUUUUGGUGAUGCUUCUAGGGAGUAGUUGCUCUCUAUUGGGUUGGCUUUGACUAGUUUUCAAGUUUUUACCGGUUUGAAGGUGAAUGUGGGGAAAAGUGAGAUUGUCCUUGUUGGAGAGGUGAGUAACAUUUAAACUUUGGUCAACAUUCUUCAAUGCAGGGUGGGCAAUUUGCCUAUGAAUUAUUUGGGAAUGUCAUUGGGUACUUCGUAUAAGACAAUCUCUAUUUGGAACCCUAUUUUGGAGAGGAUGGAGAAGAAGUUUUCAGGCUGGAAGCAUCUUUAUUUGUCAAAGGGUGGCAGACUCACUUUGUUGAAAAGUAACCUUUUAAGUCUUCCGACUUAUUAUCUUUCUCUUUUUUUACUAUUCCUAAGGCCGUGGCUAUUAGAUUAGAACGUAUUCAAAGGAACUUCUUGUGGGGUUCUUCAGAGGAGUGUUUGAAAUACCCCUUGGUGGCCUGGGAAAAGGUCUACUUAUCGCUUGAGCUAGGUGGUUUAGGAAUUUGGAAGUUGGUGUCUUGUAAUUAGGCUUUAUUAGGAAAAUAGCUUUGGAGGUACAGCCAUGAAACCACCCAUCUGUGGUGGAGGGUCAUUGCCAUGAAAUAUGGGAAGGGGAAAGGGGGGGGCGGGGGUGGAGCACUAGAGUUUGUAGAAUGGAUCAUGGGUGUGGUUUAUGGUGAAGCAUUAGUGAAGGUUGGGAGAACUUUUCUAAGCACCUGUCUUUUGUGGUGGGUGAUUGUUCACAUAUUCUCUUUUGGCAUGAUAAGUGGAUUCGGGAUAAUUCUCUUAUAACUCUUUAUUCUCAGUUAUUUGUGUGUUUAGCCAAUAAGGAAGCUUGUAGUUAUGAUGUUUUGAGUCCUCCAGUUGGUGGAAACGACAGAGUUUCGAAUUUAAGAUUCAAUGACUGGGAGUUAGUGGCUUCUUUCUCAUUUCUUCACUUGAUCCAAUCUUGGAUUCCUAGGGGUGGUGGUUGUGACAGUCUUUGUUGGAGCCUCGAUGGAAGUGGGAAGUUUGACACUUAUCUUUUUAUCAUAAGAUUCAAGAUGUUACUCUUUCUAUUUUCCCUUAGAAGGGCUUUUGGAAAGUAAAGGUUCUUAAAAUGGUGGCUUUCUUUAUGUGAACAGCAGUUCAUGGCUAGAUUCUUACUUUGGAUAAUUUUAUGCUUCGUCCUCGCUUUUUGGUGAAUCGUUGUUGUAUGUGCUAUUGUAAUGAGGAAUUUGUGGAUCACUUGCUGAUUUUUAGCCCGUUAGCUCAUUCUUUGUGGAUGUAUCUGUUCUAGCUGUUUGGGAUUGAUUGGGUCAUGCCAGGUUCUGCUGUAGACUUAUUAUUUUGUUGGCAUCCUUAGAUGGGGAAACAUAAUUUUGACAUUUGGAAUUUGGUUCGAGGUUGUUUGAUGUGAACUAUUUGGAUUGAACGUAAUUGGUAUUCUUUUGAGGAUACUAAGAAAUCUCUGGCUCAGUUGUAAGAUUUGUGCUAACAGACGCUCUUUGAUUGGUCUCGGUGUUGGGAUCUCUUGGAUUGUUCUACUCUUAUUGAUUUUCUUUUGUCUCUUAGAGUAGUUUAAUGUUUCUGUUUGUUCUUUGCUCACUAUCGUGAACUAUGUGUAUCGGGGGCGGGGGCGGGGGCGGGGACUUUCCCGGAAUAUAUUGGUAUGAUUUUUGAUAAUAACCUCCUCAAUAAUGCUAUCACACACUUUUAUACAUCUUUUUGCCACAAUUAUCUUACAUGGUAGAUUGUGAGUUGUGGAGAAAAAAUGGUAGACCUAUGUGAUAGUCACAGUGAUAGAUAGCUAAUCACAGUCUAUUGCAUAGGAUAGUUGUAGCAAAGAAUGUGGUGCUAACAUUAUUGUAACCUCCUCGCUAUUAGUGUUCCCAAGCCUAUAAUGAAGUUUGUUUUGGUGGAAAUAAUUUGAAGUUUGAAAAUGUUAUGAAGUGAUUCUAUAUCCCGAGUAGGCUGCAGAAAUCCUUCCAACUGGUUGUUAUCAAAUGGCUUCCCGUUGUCAGUUACUAUCACUCUUGGUAGUCCAAACUUGAAUAUAUUGCCUAUACAUAGGGGGUCUAUAUUGUCAACUCAGAAGGAGGGAUAUUUCGCUGAAAAUUUGGAGAGUCCAUCACCUCAAAAAAAUAUGUAAAAGAGAACAACAAUCAGAAAGAAAACCCAUCAUUUUCCUCAUCAAGAUACCCUCCUUCCAUGGAAAGAUCACCUUCAAUCCCUUGAUCAAUCUUGUGCAAACGAGCCCAAAGACCUUCAAAAUCACACUCAAUCAUGCAUUUUCUGCAUAAUAUUCAAUAGUCCAGAUGCUGCCUUUACACCAUCUAAAUCACUCAGACCAAUGCAAUUUCAUUCACUUUGAAUCAGAACUUCAAUUCCCUGGUUUUGCUUGGCAAAUAAAGAUGAAUAGUCACCUUGUUGUCUUCAUCAACAACAGCCAUAAAGGCAUCAACAAUACGUUUCCUCAUUCCACCAUAGGGAGAAGACUCAUGGAUCAUCCAAUAGAAGUGGGGAUCUAGAUCUCUCAUUAAGAAUAGAAAUCCUAAAGAAGUUCCACUGCAAAUAAGCUUCUUAUUAGAAGUAAAAUAGACAUGUAGUUUUCUAAUCAAUUCUUAUUUGAUUAAAAUUGUGAUAUGAAUAAGAAUGAUUUCCAUUUGAUGUCAUGAAAUUGAAUUGCAUAUCAUGAUCAGUUAUUGCAUCAAAUAAGGAACUGAUGAACGUGUAGAUGAUUUCUUGAGAGUAUGGUCACGUGUUAAAAUUUGUCAUCAUCUUGCCAUACAUGAGUAGAUAUGAUCUUAAGAGGGUAUUCCAUGAGUUUGUUUUCAUGGAAAAUGAGUUUAGUAAAGAUUCAUGUAAAGAAAAUUAUGAUAAUCUAUCAGCAUGAAUUGGAUCUACAUUUUAUGUUUGAUUUUUCCAUGCAGUUUUAUUCUGUCAUUGGUCAUGUGAACUAGCAUUUGUUUUCAGGGAUUCAAGUUCUAUUUUUUAAUGUAAUCUCACAUGUUAUUUCUUGAUUUUUGUUUAAUGUAACAUCUAUGGAUGAAAUCAUUUGACUUGGAGGGAUUGUUAACUUAGAUAGACCUUCUCAUUUUGUGACACAACCUUCAAGCCUAGAUCAAAGGAUUUAGAUGAGUUCACUUCCAAUGUAAUUUUGCAUUUACUUAGUUUGUAAUAAGGAAUCAAAGCAAUGCAAUUUUUUCUUUAGUUUGUUACUAGAUAAAAGCCGUGUAAUUUUCUUCUUCCAUCUCUUUGUUAAGAUAAUGUAAUUUUGAAUUAGUUAAUAAAAUACAUAUUUUAUUGGGUUU